CCCUUUCUUUAUCAGUGGGCAAACGUACAAAAUCAGCAGGGGAUCAAGUACUUUUUUCCCCCACUGUACCGUUCGUUACCUGCACUCACAGGUUAGCCUAUAAAACACACUUCACUGCGUCUUGUUUUGGCUAGUUAAUACAUAGACUACAUUGUUGCUUUACACAUACUUUUACAUAUGGAUGCAGUCUAGUCUGAAGGCAUUUCAAUUACAGUAAAGUAACAGUUCCUUAGGCAGAUUAAAAACUAGGCCUAUCAGUUCCUUAGGCAGAUUAAAAACUAGGCCUAUCAAUUCCUUAGGCAGAUUAAAAACUAGGCCUAUGUAAAAUGCACAAUGGGGAGGAACAUCACAUCUGUUGCAACAUGUCCUUUAGGUUGACUCUACCCCUUUGGAAUGCACUCACCUCUCAGUGCCAAUAUGGGCCAUUCACAUCAGUAUUAUGAUUGGUUGCUCAGCCUUUCUUUUAUAUUCAGCCAGGCCACUGUGUUUAUAACCCUGCUAGUCUCGUUCCCAACCAUAACAUGUGAUCUUGUUGAUGGAACUCCAAGGUAUUAAUAUCAGUCAUGCUUAAUAUUGUUUGUUCUUAUUCUACAUGUGCAAAACAGCAUAUUGAUGUCAGUGGAUUCAUUGGAGGAUAAUUUUGAUGUCUGUGUUUUGUAUGCUCUUUGCAGGAGAGAGUUGAAGGUUAUUUUACCAUGUACAUUUUGACAUUUACAUUUUAGUCAUUUAGCAGACGCUCUUAUCCAGAGCGACUUACAGUAGUGAAUGCAUACAUUUCUUUCCUCCGUACUGGUCCCCCGUGGGAAUCGAACCCACAACCCUGGCGUUGCAAAGACCAUGUUCUACCAACUGAGCCACAUGGGACCUAGGUACAAUGCAAUGCCUACUGAAGAGGUCACCAUAUUUUGGCGAUAUGGAUGACCGUAAUGUCUACAAUAUUGUCAGUGGAAAAGCAGACUUGACAGAUCAAGACCGUCAGUUCAGAAACAGAAUCAGGAUUUUCCCUGAGGAACGGGCAAACGGCAACUUCUCUCCUACUGACUGAUCUCAAGGACACCGAUAGUGGGAGUUAUUCAUGUUUCAUACCAACAGUGAACAUUAUUUGUCAAGUGGAUCUUUCUGUUCAAGAAAAACCAACUCCUGAGCCUAAAAUUGGUCCAAAGAGCAGCAGCAUGAGCAUCAAAGGACAGAACCUCAGCCCCUUCCUGUUUCUCCUCCUCAGUCCAGCUCUCCAUUUCCUUUGAUGUACAUCACAGAAAUUGGUCAUUGUACUGCUUAUGAGACUGUUGACAAGUUCUGAGUGGUUAAACUGCUGAAAUACUUAUUUUUUUCUUUAAUGUAUGUAAUAAGUGACUGCAAAUAUAUAUCUUGCUUGAACCACCUUCCUAGAGGUGAGUAAAAAAGUUAUUCCAAAUUGCCUGAAGCCACAGUGUUAAUUGAUAGGAUCGCUGCAACACCUAAUGGGGAUCCUAGUAAAAUACCAAACAUUUUAGCUUUGCUUUUCUGAACUAAAUUUAAUGCGCUUUUAAUACAAUAUUUGUUGCUGAUUUAAAUGCAUAAUGUUUUUAAAAACCAGGGCCAUCUGUAAAAUCAAAUUGGAAAUAGGAUUGAGUCAAUGUGUCCCUCCUGUCAACAAGAUGCAGCUUUACUUACUAAGAUAUUGAAGUAUUUCCAGAUCAGUUAUUAAUAUUGUACUACCAAAUGACAGACGUUUUGUUCAUAUCUUGAGAUUGAACAUGUGCUCCACAGUAAAAGCUUAUUAGUUCAGUCAACCUUUCAAUUAGAAAGUUAUUUUACUUUGACACCACAGUGUUAUUAAAGGAAACAUAUUCACUUCCUCAAUGCUCUUUAUUAAAGAGUGUUUCUUUUAGCUUUUUGUAAACUAUGGUUUGAUCAUGUGGUCGCACUGUGUGUUCAGUCAGAUGUCUGUUAGAAGGAGGAAGUCAGUUCAGUCUCAAAGAUUUAUCACAGCUCUGAGGAUGUCGAGGAUUGUUGCCUGUCUGUUCUGUGUCUUAAGACUGUGUGUUGGAACUGAGGCUUUGACAGAGACACUGGUAGGACUUGGACACAAUGCAACCCUGAGCUGUUCUCUUAUUGUAACUAAUGCACACUGGUACCUACAUCGCCACCCACAGCCUCCACUGGCCAUACUCCGCUCUUUCUCUAGUAGUAGUCCUGCUGCUUUUUACUACAAUAAUAAUUAUAGACAGAAAUAUUCAUUAGAAACAGGAAAUAGAUUGUUCAUACAGAAUGUAACAGUAGAUGAUUGUGGAGUGUACUACUGUGCAAAGAAAGAAAACGAUAAUCUCCUAUUCAGCAAUGGCACCAGACUCAUGACCACUGCAAGGUGCAAGACCACUACAGAAAUGUACCAUAACUCAAAGUGGAUGUAGGCUACACAUAUUUACCAUAAAACUGCAGGACUUCAAUCAAUCAAUCAAUGAAACAACAAACAAAAGUUUGAUGUUUCUUGAUCCUGAAGCUUCAGAGCAACCCAGAGCCGUCAACACAACAUGGCUAAAGGGUCUUCUCAUUGGAUCCGGGGUCUUAAAUGCAGUGCUCAUUUUAUUGCUGUCAGCCAUUUCAGUGCGGUGGAAGAGAGCUGCUUGCCAGAAGAACCAUGACUCUCCUCCAACCCCUGAACCACCUGAAAGGGCAGACAGUCUAGAGUAUGACGUGAUACAGUUGGUACACCCACCAAGACGACCAAGGCCCAACUGCAUUGCCUCAACUAUUUACUCCAGAGUUCAGUUUCCAAAUCUUGAACUCACAAAUACUGCUUAAUAAGGUGCCACAUCUGCAUUUACCCUUCCUCUUCCAUCUGGUUUAACAUAUCUGGGCUAUUGUGAUAAUAGUUAUGACUUUGGUGGAUAAUGUGAACUAGAAUAUGACUUUGGUAGAUAAUGUGAAUCAACUCUGAAUAUUAAUAUCUUUGUAUACUGUACAGUAUCUAAUGCUGCUCUUCGUCACUCAUCUAUAUACCAGUUAGCAAUAUCUUUGAAGGAAAUUGUUCCUUUUGUGGCUUGAUUCAUAAUAAUAAAAUGUAUAAUAAUAAUAAAAUGUGGAAAAAUGUCAGGGGGUCUGAAUACCUUCCGAAUGCACUGUACAACGUUGGCUGUGCAGUAAAUCUGUUUUGUUUACCCCAGAGGUUUAUACUGACUAAAUCAAACUUCCAACUGCAGGUCAUCAUGGGUGUCACGUCCUGACCAGGAAAGGGGUCAUUUUGUUAUUGUAGUUGGUCUGGACGUGGCAGUGGUGUGUUUGUUUUGUGUGUUUUGUUUUUUGUUUUGUUAUGAUCUAUGUUAAUAUAUUUCUAUGUUUGUUCUAGUUCUUAUAUUUCUAUGUUUAGUUUAUUGGGCUGACCUUCAAUUGGAGGCAGCUGUUCCUCGUUGCCUCUAAUUGAAGGUCCUGUUUAGUAGGGGUGUUUUUUUUUCCAUGGGUUUUGUGGGUAGUUGUUCUUUGUAUAGUCAGAGCACCUUACAGGACUGUUUUUCGUCAUUGGAUUUGGAUAAGUGGUUUGUUUUGGUUUCCUUCUAAUAAAAGAAGAUGAGUAUUCAUAUA